AUCUGAAGCAUUCAAAAAUCUCAAGUCAAGCCCACAAUAUAAUGCCAACAGGGUAAUUUUGGCCCAGUAACAUGCCCUCCUGGCAAGAGCUACCACAGUGCAGCACCAGUAAAGACACAGUAGCUUGGAUAUGGUUUUUCAGCAUGGCUGCUCUUGCCCAGGCUAGGCUAAUUUGGGUGCCAAUCACCCAAGUUAAUGCUGCAGUGAAAACUACCCGAAACGAAGAGUAAUUCCAGUGCAGUCAAAGGUCAUCUUGUUGUCCCUUUACUCUAUUUUUAUUAUGAGUCUCAUAAUAUUUGGUGUUUUACUUACUGCCCCAGAUCCUGGAGGCAAGUGAUUGUGAGAUUUUCAGCUUUCAUAUAAAAAGGUUACCAACCCAUGAGAGAUUGGAUUCCAAUGAGGGAAUUUGUGGAGUGCUGCUCGUGGCAUCCUCUGAGCAAACGCAUGUUGGUGGAAAGUCAGAUACAGAGAACUGGAAUGGGCUUGCACCUCCCCAGCGCUUCCAAUCAACACACCACCAGAAGGAGAGGAUCACAACUAACCAGCUGAGAAUCAAGAAUGGGGGGCUGUGCCAUCACUGCUGACUGUUGGUCCUGCUCAUUGCUUUCUAGCCUAUAUACCUUCUUGGUAAGCAAAUACUCUGUCAGGCCUUCCUGCCCCCUUCCAUCUCCAACUAUGACAGUAGUAGAAGCAAGCAACAGAACUAGCUGGCCAUAUGCUUGGCUGUUGGAAGAGCUGUCAUUCAGAGGACUGACAAACAUGAAGCUGUCUGUUGUGUCAAAUCGUGCAUCUUUGCUGCAGUACAGAUUUUGGAGGGGGCUGCAAGCAGUGGCCCACCUCACAUGGGAGAGUCUUCCUCCAUCCCCCUUGCACCCAGGCUCUGAAGUAUCUGGCCACCUAUAUCCCGCUCAGAUGCCAGGAGUGGCUUGAGAGGCAAAGACAAUCACCUCCUUGCUCUUGCCUGUACUGCCCCUCACACUUGGAGCCAGAGCCCCAUAAACAUCUCCAAGGUCACCUCACUGUCCACCUCCAGCUCCCUCUUGGAAACUCUUUUGCUGUGAUGCCUACAAAAAACCUUGCCAACAGGCUGCUGGUGAGCUGAGAACACUUCCUGUCAUGCUGAUCAGUAUUGUCUUGUUUCCUGGUAUUCCCCUCCCUCUCUCUCUACCCAUCGUCUCUUGUCUUAUACUUAGACUGUAAGCUCUUUGGGAUAGGGACCAUCUUUUUUUCUUCUGUUUGUACAACGCCUAGCACAAUGGGGUUCUAGUUCCCGACUCAAGCUCCUGGAUGCUACUGCAGAACAAAAUAAUACCUGAACAUUGGUUUCUGGAGCCCUAUCCUUUCUUUGGGAGAGGGAGCAAAGGUAUACAUACAAGGGAGAACAAGGAGAGAUGCAAGCAACAAAUCUCUCCCCAACUGCAUGAGAAACCAGCAAGGAGCAAGGGUAAGUGCAGGCCCUGUGGGUUGCAUGUCUUCCCCACGAGAGCUCUGAUGGUGCAGAACAGGAGAUGGGAUAGCCAUAGGGGAUAGACCACGUCUGAUCUAGCAUGGCAGCCAGGAGGGGCCAGAUUUUAGAAUGUAUUUAGUGCUUAAAGAUGCAGGCUAUAGACACUAAUGGGAUUUUCAAAAGCACCUAAGCAGGUUAGGCCCCUGAAUCCCACUGAAACCAAUGGGAGUUAGGUGACUAGCUUGCUUGGGCAUUUUGAAAAUCCCACUAGGCCCCUAAAUACCUUUGAAAAUCUGGCCCUAGAUGCCAAGGAAGGUUGGUGGAGUAUGGGGAAAGAGUACCAUUAAAAAGUUCAAAGUUAUAGUACUGUGUAUGUUAAAUGAGACACCCCAGGGGUAUUUGUGUCAGUCUGAAGAUGGCAGUUGGUGGUUGUGGGACAGGAUUUUUGGAAUAUAGACACACAGUAUAUUUUAGAGGAAGAUUCAUCUUUAAAGUGCUACAGUAACUAAUUUAGCAGGUAACCAGAUAGGAUCAAGGGAACUCUUCCAAUUGUAUCUCAGCACCAAUCCAGCCUCUAAAAUGUAGGAGGUUCUCAACAGCCCCAAUACCCAUUCCCAUCCCAGACACACCCCCAGGCAUGCCUUGGUUCAAAAUAGCUCCCACUGAAACACUAACGAGGAAUGGUUUGAUUUUAAAAAUUCUGAUUUAUUCAAGAAAAAAAAUGGCUUCCUCUUUCAAUGCAUGUCCAAGGAACAAAACACAUGUAACUGGCUCUUCAUUUAAAAAUAAACAUUUCUCAUCUCUGGCCAUGUAAAAUAGCCUGAAGGCAGCAAGUCAGACUACAGCAUCCCCUGAUAGAGUCCCUUAUUCCCCACAGAAGGAUACUCUCCCAGCAAGAACGAGCUAGGGGUGUGUGAUUUGAUCAGCAACUGGAAAUACAUCAAAAACAAAUCGUGAGAGAGUAAAUUUCAGUUCUCGAAUUCAAGACAGCAAGGGGCUGACAGCGCUAGCUGGAACCAGGCGAACGCUGCACAAGCUACUCAUGCACAGCUCUGCCAACGGCCAUCAAUCCCGACCUGCAGCAUCCCCCGCAGCUCCAGUCGUGAGCCCCUGUGCAGUGAGUACCACUUGAUACAGAGCCUCCAUAAAAUUUGGCUUCUGUGCAAACGUCCACUGGGGAUCUGGAGGAGAUCUAUCAAAUUCAUUUAACUGGCAACCAGCUCUGGAUCUGGACUAGAGCGUUAGCUGCAUUGAGCCCAAGGCUGGAUCACUAACCUUCACCUUACUGAUGACAGUUAAAAUGAACAUCAGUCAGAAACCAGCUUAUUUCUAGUACACUUACAAGAAAAUGCCUGUAUGGAAUAGCUGCACAUGCAAAAGAGAAGGCUUGUUGCUCUGAGACAGUAAGGCAGCAGGUCAGUAAUAGUGCACUCACACUAACUCUGAUGGGACGUUUAAAUCUACAGUCGGUUGCUUGGUCCAAUGGAAAGAAUCCAUUUUUGACAGAACACAUGAUCAUCACCUCUCUUUCUUCCCACUGUUUAUGUAGUGGCAGGUCAUCCUGCCACGGUGAUCUAGUAGGUGGGUAGCUUUUCAUUUCAACACAGCAAAAUAAAGGUCAUUAAAAAAACCCACAACCCAAAGCACUAAGUGAAGUUAGUGAGACAAAGUGCCCAACUGGCACCCAUGGAGUCUGAGGUCCCCUCUUUAGCCCCAAAAGAAGUACAGUAAAGGUAGUCACAGUUUGGGCUUCACAUCCCCCCAACAACGUACCUCUAAUCCAGAGCAAGUGGGAUUCUCUAGGGGGAAGGUGGGGAAGAGGUGUUCUGCCUCCAUAGCUUAUUCAAUCCUUGGUCUUUUUGUUGAGGUUCCCACUGAGUGACAGUGGCCCUGGUGGUUGUCAUGUGGGCACCUGUUUGCCAGGAACUGAGCCGAGACCAGAAACCACAAGUUCAGCUCAUGCAAGCCACCACAAGGAGACACUUUUUUUUUUUUUUUUUUGGCAGUUCAAGCCAAGUCUUUACUCCAGAUCCUUUGUUGGGAGGCCUUACGGUGAUGUUAGACUCUCUGGAGCCUGCUCAGUCAGUCCUUGCAUGCACAGCAGCCCCCCUCUCCUUCACCCAGUCCCCCCUCCCCCAAAAAACCCUUUCCUCCUGCAGCCCUGGGAAAGUGGGCUGCCUCCCACUACAUAGGUGGGGGUUCACCCUUGUUGGCUCUCUCCAAUCCAGAUCAGCCAAUGGUCUGUUUAGACAUUUUUAAAUUGUGUUUCUUUAAUAAAACAGCCAUCUAGAAAGGAUAGAUCUGAUUUGUGGAUGGAGGUUCCAACAAUGCAGGAUUUGGUAUAAGUGGCAGGGGAGAGACUAGCUGGCUAACUGAACCAUACAAAAGCGCCAUCCCCUUUGGAGCAGCUGAGUUACACCACCUAUCCCCCAUUUCCAGGGGGAAGGGAGCAUGUUUAAUACAUGAUACGUUGUAUUUCUCCAGUAACUGAAGAUUCCCAAGGCCUGUGGGUAUCUGGUCUAACCACACACCUACCAUGCUUUCCCUCUGACAGGUAUAACUAUGCCCUGUAUCCUGCAUUGUGGUUCCAGGGGGGCGGGUACCACUCUAAUCCCUCCCUGCCUCCAGGCAGUCUCGUUGUUAGUAUCAGGAAAGCCAUACAGUGCAUGCACCCAAUGGAUGUUCUCUGCUGGACCCUCCAUAUGCCAAUAGCUAUGGAGAGCUUUCCCACGGGGGGGUUGUAUCCAGGAUCUGUGUCCAGUCCCUUCUCAGGAUUCAAUCCAGUCCUUGUCCGAUACACCACAGAAAAAAGGAAAACAAAAACCAUUAAACAAA